rnacentral:lncRNA from 1 species
UAUACCAUGAAUUUAUCAAACCUCUAUGCAAUUAUAUUUUUAUUUAUUUAUUUAUUUUUUUUAAAAAAGAUAGCGUGUUAUUCGUUUCGUCUAUUUUUGUAAAAAUAAACGCAGCUCGAAAUAUGAAAUAAUUAGAGCUCAUCCAUCAAUUUCUUUUCCAUCGAUCUGUGCUAGAAAUGGUCGGUAUCUGGCAUCGCACAG